CAUCCUUCAGAGCUGCACGGGGAUGUGAAGUCACAGGCUGCUCCAAGCCAAGGUUUGUUCUCCUGCACAACUAGCAGUGAAACCCGAAGCUGCUCGCUGCGGCACAUAUCCUCCUCAUUAAAAGGCUUUCCCAUUACGCAUAACUCUAUUGCAUGAAGUCCUUUGGCAGCCCAAUUGAUUAAAUCCCUUUGAAAUCAUCUCUGUUACAACAUAUCUAUGCUGCUGAGAGCAAGGAGGAGGAGUGGAAGACUUGCCUAUGUUAUAAACUUAAAGGCUGCCUUGCAAAGCAGCAGAAAGACCAGAGAAUAAGCAAAGGGCAAGCAUGGAUGGGGUCUGAAUGCUGAUACCAUUCAAGGACAGAGUCAGGUUCAGACUGAAGAUGAGCCAAACUGAUGAUGAUCUCCUCAACUUUGCCCACCCAAAGGGCGAUACUGGCUGGAGCACACACCACAGAGGGCAUGAGAAGAGCCAAUGCCUGCUGGCAGAGACAGCCUGUCCUCAGGAAAAGAGCCCCACAAGAGGGUCAGCACCCCGUAUUUUUGUUUUUCUAGCCACCCUGUCCAAUCAGCCACACUGUCUUCAAGUGCUGAGGGUAAGGACUGAGAAAUAAACCUGCUCUGACAGAUGUGUGGCAGAUUUUCUUCAUGAUUAAUUGGUAUAAGGGACAACCCAUUGCCACAGCAACUUUGUUGAAAGCUCUUUCUCCCAGCAAACCUCGAGGACUUGGGACUCGGCCAUGCACAUUUACAGAAGCCACUGGUUUCUCAUAAAUAAGACUGAAGAGAAUUUGUUGCAGGAACUGUCUCUGAAAAAUGUAACCAAGUUUACAAUUUGAAGAGCUUUUAUGAUUUUUUUUUAAUUAUUUUUUUAAUGAAUCCAUACAUCAUAUGUCUGACAUUGUUUGUACUCUGUGGGCAGCUUGUAAGAAGCCAGCAAGAAUUGGCUGGUUUUCCACACACAGUUGCCCCACUGUGCUCCACAGCACCCCUGCACUCUUCAGAAGGCACCUCCCCUUUGAAAAUGUGUUUCCUCUCAUGUAACACAACCAAAAAGACCCUCAUUGCAUCUAUUUUCAUGAGCUAACAUUCAGAGCACAUGCAAAUAUGCUGGAGAGAAAACAAGAUUUUAGGGGGUCAAAGCGAAAGAAGUGGACACUAAAAACUUUCUGGGGACUGAGGCCUGUAUGGCAAACAUAAUGUGCCACGGGGUGUAUGACAGCACUUUCUGAGAAGGAAAAAACACCAACAAAAUGGAAGAGUCUUCUGAAGAGAUGAGGGAAUUCAUGUAUUUGCCCCGUGUAGUUUGUGUCAAUUUUCCCACUUGUAAACAAGUGAUUUUGUGCCUCAAGACAGAAGGAAACACGGGGAGAAACCCACUGCCUUAACCAAACCCCACAUCUCACAAGUCCAACAAAUAAAGACUCCAAGAAAUAAAGUUUUAAAGUGAAAACGGUUCUCUUCAACUUCACAGAACCCAAAAAUGUGCCUCUGAGUGUUCAGAGACUCUGCAUGAAACAAAAAGGAGAGUUCAUCCUUCGGGAGAAUAAUGGAAAGAGAAAAAUAGAGAACUUCUAAGCUGCCUUUGCUCCAGCACCCCCUAACCAG
rnacentral:lncRNA from 1 species